rnacentral:rRNA from 1 species
CAGUCGACUCCUACGGGGAGGCAGCAGUGGGGAAUAUUGCACAAUGGGGGAAACCCUGAUGCAGCCAUGCCGCGUGUGUGAAGAAGGCCUUCGGGUUGUAAAGCACUUUCAGUAGGGAGGAAGGUAGUGUAGUUAACACCUGCAUUAUUUGACGUUACCUACAGAAGAAGCACCGGCUAACUCCGUGCCAGCAGCCGCGGUAAUACGGAGGGUGCGAGCGUUAAUCGGAAUUACUGGGCGUAAAGCGCAUGCAGGCGGCCUGUUAAGUCAGAUGUGAAAGCCCGGGGCUUAACCUCGGAAUUGCAUUUGAAACUGGCAGGCUAGAGUCUUGUAGAGGGGGGUAGGAAUUUCAGGUGUAGCGGUGAAAUGCGUAGAGAUCUGAAGGAAUACCAGUGGCGAAGGCGGCCCCCUGGACAAAGACUGACGCUCAGAUGCGAAAGCGUGGGGAGCAAACAGGAUUAGAUACCCUGGUAG